rnacentral:rRNA from 1 species
GGGUCAGUAGGUUGGUCGUGCCACCGGUACGUACUGGUCUCACUGAUUCCUCCUUCCUGAAGAACCGUAAUGCCAUUAAUUUGGUGUUGCGGGGAAACAGGACUGUUACUUUGAAAAAAUUAGAGCGUUUAAAGCAAGCUAACGCUUGAAUACAUCAGCAUGGAAUAAUGAAAUAGGACGUUCGAUCCUAUUUUGUUGGUUUCUAGGAUUGACGUA